rnacentral:piRNA from 1 species
UGGCAUUCAGAUCUGCCUGCUGGCUGAAG